rnacentral:tRNA from 1 species
UUAGAAUAUAACCAAAAGGUUAAGGUAAUGAAUUUUGAUUUCAUUAAUAUAGGUUCAAAUCCUAUUAUUCUAAA